rnacentral:misc_RNA from 1 species
UUUCCGUAGGUGAACCUGCGGAAGGAUCAUUAUUGGAUUUUGAAACUUCAGGCUGCUGCUGGCUCUCCUCGGAGGGCAUGUGCACGCUUGUUGUCCAUUAUUUCUCCCACUGUGCACAAAUUGUAGACCUUUCAGUAGGCCUGUGCUGUUUUUCACAAUCUCUGAAUGUAAUAGAAUGGUUUUGAAUCUUGGGAAAUACAAUACAACUUUCAGCAACGGAUCUCUUGGCUCUC